rnacentral:lncRNA from 1 species
AUACACACUUGGUUCUUAAUUUCUUCUCCUGUUGCUGUGAAAAAGAAAUAACCUGACAAAAGCGCCUUAAAAGAGUUUCUUGCAGCUUGAAUUUCCACGGUAUAGUCCAUCACAGCAGGGAAGUCACGGCAGCAGCUGAAGCUGCCUGUCAAGGCAGCAGGAGCCUGAAGCAGCAAGCCAAAUGUUCACAUUCGGGAAGCAGAGAAAAGUGGAUGGCUCUUCUCAGCUCAUGGUGCAUUUCACACAGUUCAGGAUCUCAGUGGAAGGGGUGACACCAUCCACAGUGGUUGGUUCUUUCCCUCUUAAUAAACCUCAUCAAGAUAACUACCAAAAAGCAUGCCCAGAGGCCCAACUCCCGGGGCAUUCUAGAUCUCAUCAAGUUGACAGUUGAGAUGAACUGUCACUCUUGGAAACCUCACUGUAGCAUAAGGACUGAAAAGAGCAAGUUCAAGGUCAGACUCACAAACAGAACAAGUUGGAGUUCCAUGUAUUCCAGUGUUGAUGAAUACUUGAGUCUUUUACAUUCUGUCUUUCAAGGUUGUCACUUAUGUUCAGGUGUUGGGGAAAAAAAAAAACUACCUUUCAGGACAAUCGAUGGUCUUCGGUCUUAUUCUAGAAGAGGUGCUGUCUGCAAGCUGGUCAUCUUCAAAGGCUGCAUGCAACUGUACUGAGGCUCACAUGAAAACAGAAACAGCAACAACAACAGCAACAACAACAACAAAAACCUGCAGCAUCGAAGAACCAAACAUUAUGCCAGAAAAGACCUUUCUCCCCCCAAAAUAACACCCAUAAAUUUGGGUUUUUAGAUCAUAGACAUAGCUUGUUGAGUACCACCAUUAAUUUCAGAACAGUUUACACAGCUUUAUGAAUUUCUUUAAAAAUAUAGAAACGAAAUCCUGGGACGUAGGGAUUCAGUUGGAACAGCCAGCUAUACAAAGGCUCUAGCUUAUCCUAGGAUUUAUGUAACCGAAGACAUAUCCAGAAUGGCCUUUCUGAAACACAAGUCAGAAUCCUUCCCAUCCCAGUGUAAAAAACCC